CAGGCGGGGCGUGCGGGGACCCCGAGCGUAGCGAGUGCGACGGAGCCAAUCAAUUCCCUCAGCUGCACCGGGGCUAGAAAACAAGUGUAAACACGUAGAUUCCCUCGCCUGGAGCGGUCGGGUAACUUAGUGUGGAAAAGAGUUUUCUUUAGAUAGGAAAGCGCAUUUCUAGCGCAGGUUGGAAAGCCGACAGGCCCCAGUAACUGGCGGGGGAGGCAGCUUGCGGGACGCUGCCGGGGGUGGCGGUUGCUGAGGGCUGCGCCAGUGUCGCCUCAGACUCCCCCGGCAUUGGGCCAGACGGGGGGUAGGGUGGGGGGGAAGCUCAGAAUGCUCGAGGGGGUGAAGGCGGAGGAUGGGUGGGGAAGGAAGGGCUGGAAAAUGGGAAGAGGUCGCUCUGUCUCGGAAACUACAUAAUGGCUGGGAAGGACUGCCAAACAAGACUGAAACCGGUAGGAAGUUGUACAAUAUAUUGUCAGUUGGCAGAACCAGGAAUAGAGUUCACUGCCUUGAUGAUUCCAAGUCUCCAGCUUCUUCCAUUACUUCUGGUGCUUACCUUCUUUUGAUGGCACAGAUUUAUUGGAGGGCAGGAAAGGCCUUGCUUGCUGAGAAGAUAAACUGUGAGCAGAUUUGAAGAAGUGAGGGAAUUGAUAAGGUGCUUCUAACCUAACAAGAGAAGUAAAAAUGAAACAAAAAGAUCACAAAUAGGUAAGUAAUUAUAAAUAAUAACAUGUGCUCUGAAGGAAAAUUUGGGUUUAAGAAGGCCACUUUAAAGUAGGAAACCUAAAGAGGAAACCUUUAGGUAUAAGUAGGCUUUAGCCUGGUAAAGAGGUGGAGGGUUGUGUUCAGACGGAGGAAAGCCCCCGAGGAGGGAAGAGUUCAAAUGGAUUUGGGGGGAAGGUCAAGAGAUUGGUUUGGACAUGUUUUUGGAUGCCUUUAAAAUAUCCUAGUGGAAGAGUUAAGUGUGCAGAUGUAAGAGUCUGGAGCUCAGAGUUUGGUUUGGAAUGUAAAUAGAGAUAUGUGAUCAUUCCAUAUGUAAAUACUUCCUGAAGCCAAGUCAUGAAAGUACACCAAGAGAGUGCAGAAGCACACCCUAAAUACCUUCUGCCUUAAGAGGCUGGGUAGGUAUGUGUCAGUUAUACCUUAAUAAAGCAUAGCGUAAUUUAACA
rnacentral:lncRNA from 1 species